rnacentral:hammerhead_ribozyme from 1 species
GCAUUGUUGAAGAGUCCACAAAUAGGACGAAACAACUGUCCAGUGC